AUCUUCCUCCGCCUGCUCUUCGGGGUGCUGCUGCAGACUGGCUGCCGGGAGAGCCCGCCGGGCGACGGCCGCAGAACCUCCAUGCGGAGUACGAAAGCAGUGCGCCGGUCGAGGACUUCAAAUCGUCCUCCUUUCUAAACGCUCUCUGCUGGCAAGAAACCUCUUUUAUCUGGAUUUCUUUACAGAAAAAUAUAAAUAUUUUAUUUUUAUUUUCAUGAACCCUAAUCGAGUUCUUUCUCGAUAUUUCCAGAUAUUUAGAUACAAGAGCCAAGAAAAUAGGCUCCAACGGGCCCCUCUCAGGCAGCAUCACCAUGUCCUGCAUCAACAAAUCUACCGAGAAGAGGAGCAAGCAGAGGCUCCCUAUUUGGAUGAUAUUUACCACACAAAAAAUAAAAAUAAAAUAUGGACAAGGGAGAAGGAAAUGGGCAUGAGGAACCUUGAGCACACGAAUAGUCCCAUAUUUCCACGUGGGUUACCUGCCAUCAGAUUGAGAAGAAGAGGGAUCUGAUCCAUCCAUCUGAUGGAGCUUUGGGGUGUGUUGUUCUUGAGAUC
rnacentral:lncRNA from 1 species